rnacentral:rRNA from 1 species
AGUGAACGCUGGCGGUAGGCCUAACACAUGCAAGUCGAACGGCAGCACAGUAAGAGCUUGCUCUUACGGGUGGCGAGUGGCGGACGGGUGAGGAAUACAUCGGAAUCUACUUUUUCGUGGGGGAUAACGUAGGGAAACUUACGCUAAUACCGCAUACGACCUACGGGUGAAAGCAGGGGAUCUUCGGACCUUGCGCGAUUGAAUGAGCCGAUGUCGGAUUAGCUAGUUGGCGGGGUAAAGGCCCACCUAGGCGACGAUCCGUAGCUGGUCUGAGAGGAUGAUCAGCCACACUGGAACUGAGACACGGUCCAGACUCCUACGGGAGGCAGCAGUGGGGAAUAUUGGACAAUGGGCGCAAGCCUGAUCCAGCCAUGCCGCGUGGGUGAAGAAGGCCUUCGGGUUGUAAAGCCCUUUUGUUGGGAAAGAAAAGCAGCAGGUUAAUACCCCGCUGUUCUGACGGUACCCAAAGAAUAAGCACCGGCUAACUUCGUG